GACGAACGCUGGCGGCGUGCCUAAUACAUGCAAGUCGAACGCAGUGGGGACGGGUGCGUAAAACGUGGGUAACCUCCCAUAUGAGGGGAUAACACUUGGAUACUGGUGCUAAACCGAUACUGAUGGAUGGACUUGCUGGGCAUUAGCUUGUUGGUGAGGUAACGGCCCACCAAGGCCACGAUGCAUAGCCGACCUGAGAGGAGGAUCGGCCACACUGGAACUGAGACACGGCCCAGACUCCUACGGGAGGCAGCAGUGGGGAAUAUUCGACAAUGGACGAAAGUCGGACCGAGCAACGCCGCGUGAAUGAAGAAGGUUUUCGGAUCGUAAAGCUCUUUUGUUAGGGAAGCGGUAUCUGACGAAGAAGCCACGGCUAACUACGUGCCAGCCGCCGCGGUAAUUC
rnacentral:rRNA from 1 species